UUCUCUCACACCAGAAAAGUUCUGCUAGAUGCUGGAGGACACCAUUUGGCACUUCCCAGGCUUCAUUUGCACAUUCUCAGUUGUACUGCUAUAAAUGUAACCACCGGUAUGCAUAUACAUUCACAGCACACUGAAUGUACAAUGUCGAACUUAUUUUUCGGGAGAGAAAAUGUCUCCUCAACAUGUCAAUUGUCUCAUUUUACCAGUGUCUGCUCACUGCCAAAAAUACAAAGACAGAAGAAGAAAACUUGGUUCUGACUUCACUCACUUUCUGUUCAGGCAGAAGGCCAAGCAUAGUGCCUAAAAUGUUCCGCCUCGAGGCCUCUGGGGACAGGGGCUUUGGGAGCAAGCGAGGAAUGCCAUUUCAUGGGGAGGUGUGCCUGAUUGACAACAGCCCCCUGUCAAAAUUCUACUCUUCUUGAAGAUCCAUUUUAAAUGUCAUCUCCUUCAAGAAAUAUUCUAUGAUGUUUCCACCCAGAUGUGAGCUCUCUCUCACUCGAAUGGUUCUCUGCUAGAACUCCAGAAAAUGCCUUGAGAGUGUUAAAUUAGUUCAACAAGGAACCCAUUAGACUGAAGUGUCUCUAAUGCCCUGGUGGCCUAUGAAAGCAAACGAAAAUCUAAGCCUGUAAAUGCCUCAAGGUUAUGAAAUCAAACCAAUAAGGACAAUCAAUCACAAACAGCCAAUAGGCUUUAAACUAUAGCCAGUCAGGUAAUUCCUUUCUUUGCUUCCACACUUUCUCUAUAUAAGUCUUGCCCCUGAGCUGCUGCGGGCAGAGUACUCCUAGUCACUGCUGGUUUGGCACUGCUAGAUUCAAGUAGAUUUUUGCUCAAAUAACCUCUUAAAAUUUUGAAUAUGCCUCAGCUUCCCUUUUAACAAUGGAAAGCACUGGUUCCAUAGGAAAGGAACUUUCCUGGUUCCGUAAGUUCCAAUGCUGUACAGAAGAGUUGAAGAAUGAUGCAUAUAAACCUACACAUAUGUGGGCAACUGAUUUUCAACAAAGAAGCCAAAAACGGAGUGGAGAAAGGCAAGUCUCUUUGAUAAACAGUGUUGGAAAAACUGGAAAGCCAUGUGCAGAGGAAUGAAACUACUAUCUGACUCUGGUU